GAAUGAAGAACGUAGCGAAAUGCGAUAAGUAAUGUGAAUUGCAGAAUUCAGUGAAUCAUCGAAUCUUUGAACGCACAUUGCGCCCGCCAGUAUUCUGGCGGGCAUGCCUGUUCGAGCGUCAUUACAACCCUCAGGCCCCCGGGCCUGGCGUUGGGGAUCGGCGGAGCCCCCCGUGGGCACACGCCGUCCCCCAAAUGCAGUGGCGGUCCCGCCGCAGCUUCCAUCGCGUAGUAGCUAACACCUCGCGACUGGAGAGCGGCGCGGCCACGCCGUAAAACACCCAACUCUUCUGAAGUUGACCUCGAAUCAGGUAGGAAUACCCGCUGAACUUAAGCAUAUCAAUAAGCGGAGGA
rnacentral:misc_RNA from 1 species